rnacentral:rRNA from 1 species
UCCUACGGGGAGGCAGCAGUGAGGAAUAUUGGUCAAUGGACGAUAGUCUGAACCAGCCACGUUGCGUGAAGGAUGACUGCCCUAUGGAGUUGUAAACUUCUUUUAUGCAGGAAUAAAGUCAGGCUAUGCGCGCACUGUUUUGUAUGUCGCUUAAGAUUACGGAUCGGCUAACUCCGCUGCCAGCAGCCGCGGUAAUACGGAGGAUCCGAGCGUUAUCCGGAUUUAUUGGGUUUAAAGGGAGCGUAGGUGGAUGUUUAAGUCAGUUGUGAAAGUUUGCGGCUCAACCGUAAAAUUGCAGUUGAUACUGGAUGUCUUGAGUGCAGUUGAGGCAGGCGGAAUUCGUGGUGUAGCGGUGAAAUGCUUAGAUAUCACGAAGAACUCCGAUUGCGAAUGCAGCUUACUGAACUGCAACUGACAUUGAUGCUCGAAAGUGUGGGUAUCAAACAGGAUUAGAUACCCUGGUAGUCCACACGGUAAACGAUGAAUACUCGCUGUUGGCGAUAUACUGCCAGCGGCCAACCGAAAGCGUUAAGUAUUCCACCUGGGGAGUACGCCGGCAAACGGUGAAACUCAAAGAAUUGACGGA